rnacentral:rRNA from 1 species
GACGAACGCUGGCGGCGUGCUUAACACAUGCAAGUCGUACGGUAAGGCCCUUUCGGGGGUACACGAGUGGCGAACGGGGGAGUAACACGUGAGUAACCUGCCCACAACUUUGGGAUAACGCUAGGAAACUGGUGCUAAUACUGGAUAUGUGCUCCUGCUGCAUGGUGGGGGUGGAAAGCUCCGGCGGUUUUGGCUGGACUCGCGGCCUAUCAGCUUGUUGGUGGGGUAGUGGCCUACCAAAGCGGCGACGGGUAGCCGGCCUGGGAGGGUGACCGGCCACAUUGGGACUGAGAUACGGCCCAGACUCCUACGGGAGGCAGCAGUGGGGAAUAUUGCACAAUGGGCGCAAGCCUGAUGCAGCAACGCCGCGUGCGGGAGGACGGCCUUCGGGUUGUAAUCCGCUUUCAGCAGGGACGAAGCUUUUUGUGACGGUACCUGCAGAAGAAGCACCGGCUAACUACGUG